UACAGAGGUCUCAAGCGUUGUUCGGAUUCAUUGGGCGUAAAGGGUGUGUAGGUGGCGCCGUAAGUCGGGUGUGAAAUUUCGGAGCUUAACUCCGAAACUGCAUUCGAUACUGCGGUGCUUGAGGACUGGAGAGGAGACUGGAAUUCCCGGUGUAGCGGUGAAAUGCGCAGAUAUCAGGAGGAACACCGGUGGCGAAGGCGGGUCUCUGGGCCGUAACUGACGCUGAGGAGCGAAAGCGUGGGGGAGCGAACAGG
rnacentral:rRNA from 1 species